rnacentral:lncRNA from 1 species
AAGAGUUUGUGGUGUUUUGUGAUUCCAUUUGAGGCAUUCACACUAUUGGUGCUUGGCCCUCAAACUCCUUAAGAACCAAACUCAUCAAAAAGGUAUGUAAUCUCUUCUAACUCUUUUAUGUUGAAAUGUUCCCCAUGCCAUGUUAGAUAGGUUAUGAACCUUGGAAAAUUAUUAUUUUGCAUGUAUUUAGACAAACAUAGAUCCAAGGUUUAUUAGGGUUGCAUGCACACUUAGGAAGUGUUAGAUUGCUCAAAACCCAACAGUGGUAUCAGAGCCUAGGCUUGCUUGUUUGAUACUUGAUGCAAAAUAGUGAAAAAAGUUGAAAUUGUUGCUGUCUGGCUGAUGGACUCGCCGAGUCCAUGGGGGGACUCGCCGAGUUCAAGGCAAAAUUCAUCCUACUCGGCGAGUAGGUUCGUGCACUCGGCGAGUAGAAUGAUCAGAAUGCAGAAUUUCGACUUUUGCUGCUGGAAAUGGACUAGAAACAUUACCCUAAACUGUUUUGGUGUUUUAAAACUUGUUUUAGUUGGUGUAAUGGUUGUUCUAAUCCAUUUACAAUAGCAUAUAUCAAAAUUCCAUGAUUUUUAUGUGUUCAUAUAAUUCUUGAAAUUUUGAUGAUCAUGUUCAUGUUCUUAUGAAUUUAGAAGAUGAUAGGAAUUAUUUGCUGAAUUGUUUAGAAUUAAUUCUUGAUCAUUUAUGUGUUUUAAUGGAGUCCAUAAUUUGUCCUCAAGUUAUGGAUAUCCAAAGGUCACUUUUCUUUAACACACACAUUUAAACACAUAAGUUACAUGAAAAUGAAGAGUCUUCAUUUUUAUGAACCUUUAAUUCAUAAGUUAUGAAAUGAAAAGUUUUGGAUAGUUACAAAACUUGCCCUCAAGUUUUGGAAUUUGAAAAGUUUCACACACUUUAAUAAACUUUAAUUCCAACACUUAGAGUUUUAAAAGUUAAAAUUCAACACUUAUACUAUUUAUAACAUUAAUGGUUAAUUAUUAUAUAUAUGUAUAAGAACAAGUCGUUUUACCGUUAGUAGGCCUCAUUCACGAAGCCGGUCUAUAAGGUGGGUAUAAGGUUGUUGCCUAUAAAAUGGCGACUUAAUGGGUGUCCACUCUCACCCACCGCUUGCUUGAUCGGUGGAGGGUCGUUAGCCGAACGGGUAGGACAAUGACUUUAAAUUCUCAUUAAAAGUAUAAUGAUUAUUAUAAAGUAACUAAAAAUUUUUUAUUUAAUUCCCAAUCUUAGUUACUUUAGGAAAAAUGUGAAUUUGGUGCUAGCCCAUGGAAUUCACACUUUGUACCUUACCAAGUCGUUGGUGGAGCGUGUGUGGUUAACCGGCACACUAACUUGGACUAGUAAGGAUCACGAAGGGUGACUUAAUGUUUGUCAUAGAUCAAUGGAGCGUGUGUGGUUAACCGGCACAUUGAUUAGGUGAUAAUAUUAAGGGUACCAAGUGAAUUGGUAUGGUUAUUCACACCUUGUUUUGUGAUCCUCGGCAUCCCAGUCACAAAAUUUGAGAGGGCACACUCGAGAUUGAAACAUGCCAUUGAAAAGUUCAAUGAAUCUCAAAAGAUCUAGGAAUUUCAAAUCCAAUUAAAACCUAAUAAAUUAUUUCGUUUUUCAUGGUGGAAAUUGGUGAAUCGUCAUUCGCCUACCUUCAAAUAUUUUAUAGCUUGGAUUACGGCAUCCCUCUUCCAAAUUAUAAAAUAUUGUGUUGGGUCCUAGCCUUAAUAUUUCAUAUUGGGUGUUAUAUUAAGGACUUUGAAUCAACUAACUUGAUUUUCUCCCAUUAUAGAUGUCUGGUUCAGACAACUAUGAUCUUCCCAAAUCUCUUGAAGAUGGUGUCCCUCAACAUCAUGCUUCACUUCCUCCACCUCCUCCAAUUAUUCUCCCUCACCCACAAGUUCUUGAAAAGUUUAAAGUCACUCAAUCCCUAUUGGCAAGCAUAGUCUAUGUGUGCUCACAUCUUGGAGAUAAAGUCACAUAUUGACAAGCCGGGAGAGUUGGGUGUCAAAGUCUCGUGAAAGUUGGAUGUUCAAUCACUUUCUUAGUAACAUAGUGAGUCUCUUUGGGACUACUAUGAGACAGACUAUGACAUGACCCUUAAUGAUGUUAUCUAUUUGCUUGGUGUUGUGGAAUCAGCAAUGAUUUGGAACACCAGUAAAGCAAAUUUGAUUAAAAGAACAACUUCCCAAGUCUUAAAUGGACAUUGACAAUGGUAGCAUUGGAUAUCUAGAAAAGGAUUUCUCUUCCCAAUGGAAAGGGAUCGGCCAUAGUCAACUCGGUUGACCAAAUGGUAAAGAGAAAGGCUAAGUCUGAGAUAGUCUCAUGUGCCAUUACCAAAGGGUCCAUGUGUUUUGUUGCCAAAGGAAGGGGCAUUGGUUGCGAAGCUGCCCUAUUCACCUGAAAGGUCAUAAGGUUGAUCAAGUCAAGAGGUUUGACUCUACUUCGGGUAAAGUCCACUGUCUAACUCUAUUAAGUUCCUAUUUGGAGAUUCUUAUUACAUAAUGUGAAUGGGUCACAUGCUGAUGUUUUUAAGAAUCAAAGAAAAGAUAGGAAGCUUAAAGUAAGUAUAUGUUGAUUCUGAUUGCGAAGGUGGGUUUCGAUCGCAUGGUUCGGUAAUCAGAAUUUUGAGCUGUUGCUUAAGAGUUAUAAUAUAUUGCUUAUGAAUAGAUAACAACAAGGUUUUCAUGUGGAUUGUAAGGAUAAGUUUUUCCGCAAAGUUUUAAAAAAAAAAAAAAAAAGGGUUUUAAUUUUAUUUAUUUUAAAAAUAUCCUUACAAUGGCAUCUGUGGAAAAUUGUUGCUUAUAUGUUUCCAGUAAUAGCAAUAUUGGAAAGUGGAUUUGAUUCUUUCAUUUGUGGUAGUGUCUGAAUUUACCAAAUGAAGAAAGUUUUUCAUCACCCAAGUUUCAAUUGGACAGAAACUUGGAAUCAUACAAGUUGUAUUGUAUGAUGAAUGAGAAUUUUCAUCUUUGAAAAUUAAGACUAAUUCUUUGAUCACAUGUAUAUGUGAGUCAAUUGAAGGACUAAGGAAUUAGGUACACUGGGUGUGCGCUGGUCAAGGUCCACCACAAAGAUUGAUUUGUCAUGAUUUACUAAAGAUUAGUAAAUAUGAUUAUACUUAUGAGGUUAAGUAUAAUUCUGUAACAUUGGAAAGGUUACAAUGUAUGACAAAACAAAUGAGAAGAAUCAAAUUAGGCAGAAAGAUAAAAGUUUCUCAAAUCUGAAAGGAUGGGAGAGUACUUUAGUAUCGUAUUUCAUGAUCAUCUUAAUGAUUAUGAAACCAUAUCACAAAUUCAUACUCUAAGGACGUCUUAGUGCAUUGUUAUGGCUAAGAAGAGAGGUCAUGAAUUGUUGGAUUGGUUAAAAUCAAGAAGAUGAGUCAUACUUCGUUCCAAAACAAUUCUUAGAGUCAUACUCCAAGAUUGUAACUUUGAGUGACAUAAAGGAAGAUUUAUUAACACUAGUCAAAUGUAAGAGUAAAAUGUUUUCUACUCUUGUACAUUUGAGAUUGGUAAGUUGUGAUGUCUUGGAUGAGACAAAGACCAACUAAGACCAAUUGUGUGAAGUGUUAGUCUUGAUAAGAAUCCGCACUAUCCCUUGAAUAUUUGUUUUGUCAAGGAAUGGUUCUUGACUGGGGAAACUUAUAUGUCAAGGGGACAGUGGGAGCCUUAAAGAUCCUGAAAGAGUUUCAAGAUUUAAUCAAGAGUAAAACCUGUAAUUUAUCACUAGCACACGACUUAAGGUUUGCAACCUAUCGUGUUGACAUAAUUCUUAUUUCUGUACCUACUUCAAAUAAGUUGAAUUUGCAUGUGAGUUAUCAGAGUUCAACUUGGAAGCAUUGGUGGGCCUUGUGCUACCAAGGUGACAAGAAACUAAGAUUGAACAAGUUUAAUCCAUGUAAGGCUGAAUUUGUCACUAACCUUAUCUUGUGAUUAUGGUUUUGACAAAUUCACAUGGAUAGGAACUCAUACACUAUAAAAUCUAAGUGUCAUAAGGUUUCUCUCCGAUUCAUGAAAAUGAUGGUGAGGAAACGCUUUCACUAAGUAGAUUUUACGUAGAUAUCAAUUGUGUUAUUUGCAUUUUCAAAAGUCGUUAGUGGAGCGCGUGUGGUUAACCGGCACACUAACAUGGACUUGUGAGAAAUGGCAAAUGCCUAAGCAAUUGAGACUAUGAUUACGGCAUCCCUUUUCAUAGUUCUGAAAAUUGUUUAGACACACAUGUGAGCUAUCUAAGAAAGGGUGUAUGAAUCUAAAUUUCAGAAGUCCAGCAGAUUUCUGGAAAUAUGUCAGAGCUAGUGGGAGCAUAAGUGUUAUGCUGAUAAUCAUCAUGUUAGUGGGAGCAUGAUUAUUACGUUUAGUGUUGCAAGUUAGCAAUGUUAAUUAUAGAAAACAAAGUUUCAAUUCGUGAAGUUGCAGGGGUUGAAAAGUUGUUUUGCUAUAAUUAAGGGAGAGGAAAUUAUACUUCAUUUCAAUUCUAAAGCUUAGAUUGAGAUUUUAAUCAUCUUUAGUCAAGAAUAUAUAUAUGAAUUUUAUGUUGGAAUGGUUCAACUUGAAGAAAUUCUAUAUAUAUUGCGUUUUCAAAAUUCGAUUAUGAUUACGGCAUCCCUCUUCAUAGUUAAAUUUUGAAAACAUGGCAAAUAAAAAAUAUUGUAGCAAAAGACUGGUCUAGUAUCAUGUCUUUAUGUCAAACAUCAUGAAUCGUGUCCCAUAUGCUUCGGAUAUAGGAUCGAUUGCAUGUGCUAUAAUAUUCAUCUUUUCUAAAUUUUCCAAAUGCUUAAGGCAUUGAGAAGGGAAAAGUCUAGAACUGGAUAUGACUAAAGUGAUUAAGCAAUUGUCGAGGACAAUCUGAGGUUCGCCAAAGAUUGGUUGCUCAGGGAAAGUUGGAAGUAUGAUGUAAGUUGUCGGAAAGGACCAUAUUGACAUAUUCUGAAAAGAAGUAACUCUUGUUCGGAAGUGAUAGUCAAAAUGGGACUAUGGAAAUGUCUCCAUAGGUGGAAGUUAUUCAAUCUAUGUAAGAUUAGAAAACCUUAAUGCAAGAAGGAUGUUCAAAGCAAUGUACUUUGAAUAUGAGACUUCCGUUCCAUAGAAGUUGACCUUCUUUGGAAUACUCUGUAAUGACUGGUGACAAGGUUUUGGUGACUUUGUGCAUAAUCAUUACAAGAGGAACAUUGCAUAAAAGUUUAAAAUCUAACAGUUUUUUUGGUAAAUGAUAGGAAUCGGGGAUUCUCACAUUUACAAUAAGGAUUUGGGAUUGUGAAAUGAGUAUCAUUGGAAUCAUGUUCAAUUGAUCUACAUCACAAUGUAAGGAUCAUAGACAAACAUAGUGUGCAUACUUGGAGUAUGGCAUAACUAUUGUUUAGAAAAACAAAGUGUACAUGCUAGGAGCAUGGGACGACUGUUGUUUUUAUUCAAGUCUUAAGUUGAUUGUUUGAAACAUUAUACAAUGAAUAAUGUGUAAUCAAUAUGGUGAUAAAUAAAAGGUGGUUCUAUUUAUAUUCAAAAGGGUUCUGAGACCAUAUUGGAUUCGAUUAUUAUUGUGUUUCACUUUGCAUGUUUUGACUUCCAAAAUAGCUAGGUUAUUCUUUCCGAAUGACUAAGUUAUUUAAACACUCCACAGUCGUUCAUAUGUUGGAAGUAGGUAUGAAUCAAGACUGUCAUGAAUCGAGUUUGUAGAUGGCUAAAUGGGUUUAGUCAUAGCAAUGGUUGCUACAACAUUCAUGAGUGCUCAUAAGUUAUGAGUAUUGGAAUAAACCCACGCUCACUUGUAUCACUUCAUGGAAUUUAUCUCGAGUGAUCGUGAGACGGUAAUAUCAUAUAAAUCUUCAAACCUAGAGAUAUGAGUUGUUACCUAUGAGUUGGUUGUGCAUUGAUUGCACGUAAACGCAUCAGUAACUUGAUGUUAUAAAACGUGCCUUUGUGUACAAUUCAACAAGUAGUAGAACAAGCAUAUGAGUCGAAGUUUAUCUGUUCCUUCUAGAAAUAGAAGCGAUAUCUGGGCCCCUCGAUGAUUUUGUUGUGACCUAUGUACCGGCCGGUCAGAACUAAAUUGAUGUGUUCGAUUAAGUUCUUUGUCAAACAAAUCGGAAAUCGGGAAACAAACUGCUGGACAAUAAGUACGACGUUGUUCCAUGUAUUUGUCCGGCUGAUAUCAUGAGAACAGAGGAUUAUAUGAUCACUUAUCUAAAAUGGCGCUUCAUAGUUCAACAGAGUUUUCGAGAGCUACGAUUGCUGGUUGGUUCCUGAAGUAACAUACGCAAAUAUAGUUAUUAGACUUAUCCAAGUGGGAGUCUGUUGGAUAAGGUGUCUAAGUCCAUAACUUAUUUGGUAUAUACUUGACCCGACCCGGCAUGGUCCAUUUGGGUUGCAUUUCACCCAAACUAUUUAUGGAUAAUUUUAUGAGAGUUAUACACAUAUGUUUAUUAAUAUAUUAUAAGUUAUAAUAUAUUAAUAUGAAGUCAUGUUAUUUAAUUAGUCUUAGUCUUAAAUUAAUUAUGAAUUAAUUUAGAGAUUAAAAGGAAGGCUAAUUAGAUUGUGGGCUAUUGGUUUUAUAUGGUGUGGGCUAACACUCAUUUGUUAAUGGGUUAGGCUUGUAUGGAAGUCCAUGGAUGAUCCAUGGAGCUUUUAACCCAUGGAUCCUUGGAAAAGGAAAGGUCAUGGGUUAUUAGGGUUUCACCCUAAUCAUGUACACUAUAUAAGCAUGCUUAUGUUGCAUGAAAUAGUCACUAGUGGCACUAGUGUGUGUGUGUUUUGUGUGUGACCGAUUUUAUAAGUGUGUAUACACUCUCUCAAAGUUUUCCAAGAGUUUGUGGUGAUUUGUGAUUCCAUUUGAGGCAUUCACACUAUUGGUGCUUGGCCCUCAAACUCCUUAGGAAUCAAACUCAUCAUCAAAAGGUAUGUAAUCUCAUCUAAUUCUUUUAUGUUUAAAAGUACCCCAUGCCAUGUUAGAUAGGUUAUGAACCUUGGAAAAUUAUUAUUUUGCAUGUAUUUAGAAAAACAUAGAUCCAAGGUUUAUUAGGGUUGCAUGCACACUUAGGAAGUGUUAGAUUGCUCAAAACCCAACAGUAC